AAUAUGUGAGAUAAACAACUAUGCAGACACCAGGGUCAGUGAAGAAGGAGGGGGAGGAGGUGCUCCAAAUGCCAGAGCAAAGAUUCACGGAGGUCCA